GAUGAAGAACGUAGCGAAAUGCGAUACGUAAUGUGAAUUGCAAAUUCAGUGAAUCAUCGAGUCUUUGAACGCACAUUGCGCCCCCUGGUAUUCCGGGGGGCAUGCCUGUCCGAGCGUCAUUACUGCCCUCAAGCCCGGCUUGUGUGUUGGGCCCCGUCCUCCGAUCCCGGGGGACGGGCCCGAAAGGCAGCGGCGGCACCGCGUCCGGUCCUCGAGCGUAUGGGGCUUUGUCACCCGCUCUGUAGGCCCGGCCGGCGCUUGCCGAUCAACCCCAAUUUUUAUAGGUUGACCUCGGAUCAGGUAGGGAUACCCGCUGAACUUAAGCAUAUCAAUAAGGGAGGA
rnacentral:misc_RNA from 1 species